UACGUAGGGUGCGAGCGUUAAUCGGAAUUACUGGGCGUAAAGCGUGCGUAGGUGGUUUGUUAAGUCUGUUGUGAAAGCCCCCGGGCUCAACCUGGGAAUGGCAAUGGAUACUGGCAGGCUAGAGUGCGGUAGAGGGUAGUGGAAUUCCCGGUGUAGCGGUGAAAUGCGUAGAGAUCGGGAGGAACACCAGUGGCGAAGGCGGCUACCUGGACCAGCACUGACACUGAGGCACGAAAGCGUGGGGAGCAAACAGG
rnacentral:rRNA from 1 species